GCGGGUGUAGCUCAGAUAUAGAGCUCUUAUCUAGCAUGCAAGAGGCCUUGGGUUCCAUCCCUAGCGCCUCCA
rnacentral:tRNA from 1 species